AACCCUUUUAUUUCCUAACACCACCCCCUCUCGGUCGUUCUCUCUUUCACUCUCACAUCCCUUGAUUUUUUUCAUUCUUUUACCCCUUCUUCACAAAAUCAAAUGGCCACCAUGGCCAUCGCCGCAUGCGAGCUCCGAUGAGGGACCGAACGGAGUCUAAUGACUCUCUCUCAUAACCCAAAACCACUCCAGGAAACCCAAAGAAUCGACCACCUCCAGCUCCUAAAUCACUCGACCAAGGCUAGGGAAAUGAAGGGUUUACCUUCGACUCAACGGCGUCUAAAUCCCAGGGGACGGGCGAUAAUGUUUUUCGGACCGAAAAGGGGGCACGACAGACUCGCACUGGCUCGGGUACACUAAGGAGGGUUGCGAUGAUGGCAUCGUGGUAUGUGAGAGACCAAACAGACGCGAUCUGAACCGUUGGCGCCCCUUCAAUCCGACGUUGACAUUCUUUGGCGGUGGUGGUGGCAGCUCUUUAGGGUAAAACCCUGGUUCUUGUUGCAUGUGGGCCGUUUGAUCUUAUCAGAUCCAACGGCGGACCCGCGACUGCGUAUGCUUCUUUUCCUAGGGUUAUAAGAACCCUAAUUUUAAGUUUAAUCUAGACCGUCAAAUUGGUUAUCAGAUCUAACGGUUCGGAUGGCGAGUGUCUUCUCCUCCAAACCCUAAUUGGGACUUAGGCUGCUACUGGGCCUCCAACCAAAUUGGACAACUUGCCUUUGGGUCUACUUGUAACAUUCGGGCCUGUAACUGAAAAUUAUAAGAAUUAAAUGUCAGUUUCAAAUUUCAACAGUCA